rnacentral:rRNA from 1 species
GUUAUAUGGUCAAGCGUUUAAGUGCAUCUGGUGGAUGCCUUGGCAGCUGAAGGCGAUGAAGGACGUUGUAGCCUGCGAUAUGCCUCGGGGAGUCGGCAAACAGACUUUGAUCCGGGGAUUUCCGAAUGGGGAAACCCACCGUCUACGGACGGUAUCCCCACCUGAAUAAAAUAGGGUGUGGAGGCGAACCCGGGGAACUGAAAUAUCUAAGUACCCGGAGGAAAAGAAAUCAACCGAGAUUCCCUAAGUAGCGACGAGCGAACGGGGACUAGCCCUUAAGCAUGCAGUUCGUUAGCAGAAGUGUCUGGAAAGGCAAGCCGUAGCGGGUGAUAGCCCCGUAUGCGAAAACGAGCAGUGUGUGAAAUCGAGUAGGACGGGGCACGUGAAACCUUGUCUGAAUAUGGGGGGACCAUCCUCCAAGGCUAAAUACUCUCAGCUGACCGAUAGUGAACCAGUACCGUGAGGGAAAGGCGAAAAGAACCCCUGUGAGGGGAGUGAAAUAGAACCUGAAACCAGAUGCAUACAAGCAGUGGGAGCAUGCCUUCGGGCGUGUGACUGCGUACCUUUUGUAUAAUGGGUCAGCGAGUUACUUUUACUGGCAAGGUUAACCGUAUAGGGGAGCCGUAGGGAAACCGAGUCUUAAUAGGGCGUUUAGUCGGUAGGAGUAGACCCGAAACCGGGCGAUCUAGCCAUGAGCAGGUUGAAGGUUGAGUAACAUCAACUGGAGGACCGAACCCACUACCGUUGAAAAGUUAGGGGAUGACUUGUGGCUAGGAGUGAAAGGCUAAUCAAGCCCGGAGAUAGCUGGUUCUCCUCGAAAGCUAUUUAGGUAGCGCCUCUCGUAUCACCACCGGGGGUAGAGCACUGUUUGGGCUAGGGGGUCGUCUAGACUUACCAACCCCAUGCAAACUCCGAAUACCGGUGAGUGCAGCGAGGGAGACAGACGGCGGGUGCUAACGUCCGUCGUCAAGAGGGAAACAACCCAGACCGCCAGCUAAGGUCCCAAAAUCACAGUUAAGUGGGAAACGAUGUGGGAAGGCACAGACAGCCAGGAGGUUGGCUUAGAAGCAGCCAUCCUUUAAAGAAAGCGUAAUAGCUCACUGGUCGAGUCGGCCUGCGCGGAAGAUGUAACGGGGCUCAAACUGUGUACCGAAGCUGCGGAUGCGUGCUUUUGCACGCGUGGUAGAGGAGCGUUCUGUACGCCUGUGAAGGUGAACCGGAAGGUUUGCUGGAGGUAUCAGAAGUGCGAAUGCUGACAUGAGUAACGAUAAAGGAGGUGAAAAUCCUCCUCGCCGAAAGACCAAGGUUUCCUGCGCAACGCUCAUCGGCGCAGGGUUAGUCGGCCCCUAAGGCGAGGCCGAAAGGCGUAGUCGAUGGGAAACAGGUUAAAAUUCCUGUACCGAUCAUUAUUGCGAUGGGGUGACGGAGAAGGCUAGGCUAGCCUGGUGAUGGUUAUCCAGGUUUAAGCACGUAGGCUGGGAUCUUAGGCAAAUCCGGGAUCCUCCUCUUUAGUGAGGAAGUCGAGAUGCGAUGACGAACCGCUCUUAUACGAGCGGGAAGUAGUUGAUGCCAUGCUUCCAAGAAAAACCUCUAAGCUUCAGAUAAUGAUCGACCGUACCCCAAACCGACACAGGUGGUCAGGUAGAGAAUACCAAGGCGCUUGAGAGAACUCGGGUGAAGGAACUAGGCAAAAUGGCACCGUAACUUCGGGAGAAGGUGCGCCACUUUUGGUGAAGGGACUUGCUCCCCUAGCUGAGGGUGGUCGAAGAUACCAGGUGGCUGCGACUGUUUAAUAAAAACACAGCACUCUGCAAACACGUAAGUGGACGUAUAGGGUGUGACGCCUGCCCGGUGCCGGAAGGUUAAUUGAUGGGGUUAGCUUCGGCGAAGCUCUUGAUCGAAGCCCCGGUAAACGGCGGCCGUAACUAUAACGGUCCUAAGGUAGCGAAAUUCCUUGUCGGGUAAGUUCCGACCUGCACGAAUGGCGUAAUGAUGGCGGC